rnacentral:tRNA from 1 species
GGGGCCAUAGCUCAGUUGGGAGAGCGCCUGCCUUGCAAGCAGGAGGUCGGGAGUUCAACCCUCCCUGGCUCCACCA